rnacentral:misc_RNA from 1 species
GAUGAAGAACGCAGCGAAAUGCGAUACUUGGUGUGAAUUGCAGAAUCCCGUGAACCAUCGAGUCUUUGAACGCAAGUUGCGCCUCAAGCCAUUAGGUUGAGGGCACGUCUGCCUGGGCGUCACAUAUCGUUGCCUGAUGCCAGUUUCCUCGUGAUGGGUGACUGUGCAGGGCGAAUGAUGGCUUCCCGUGAGCAUUGUUGCCUCAUGGUUGGUUGAAAAUUGAGUCCUUGGUAGGGAGCGCCGUGAUAGAUGGUGGUUGAGUGACGAACGAGACCCAAUCAUGUGAGACCCCUACCGAAUUUGGCCUUCAUGACCCACAUGCGUCUUUGGAACGCUCAUGACGAGACCUCAGGUCAGGCGGGGCUACCCGCUGAGUUUAAGCAUAUCAAUAACGGAGA